rnacentral:lncRNA from 1 species
GCCAAAGACUCUGAGUUUCUGCAAACCCAAAUGUCAAAUGGAUAUUAGCAAGAAGUAACUCUUGGUACUCCCAGGCCAAUGAAAUCAGAGUGUUCAAAACAAAAGACAGCAGAGCUUCAGACCCUAGAGGAGAGGAAGACAGAAGACCCGGAAAGGGGUGGAAUCAGUGAUAGACACCAAGUCACUCAGAUCCAAAACCAAUAAGUCUUUUAUGGCUAAACCAAGGACAUGGGAGGUAUCUCCAGAGGUGCUGAGAAGAGCCACUCUUGAAGGCAGCUAAGGAAGCCCCCAGCGGAAGCAUAUGAUAAACAUUCCAGAAUUGCUUCUAUUUUUGAAGACAAAGAAAAAAAUGUCCAUGGUUUCACUUUGAAGCUCUUCGGAAAGAAUUCCUGUAACACUUAGCACUCAAUAAAGAAAUUUCAAACAAAAACAAACUCAAAUUUGGAAACUAGUGUUAACAAAUCGUUCAAUUCAUCAGCCAAACUUGUGUUUGAGGAAUGGCUUGACACAACUUCCAAUGUUUCAAUAAUGCCUGGAAGCCUCUCAAUCAUAGAUAACAAAUGUACGGUCAUGGUCUAUCCAACAUGACUGUGAUGUACGUUUAUUGCAUGUUUUGUUUUGACUUAGCUUACAAAUGUCUCGAAAAUUUGCUAGCAUUCCCCCAGACAUAUAAAUAGUGUUGAACAAAGAACUGAGAGUAUGUAGAGCACCUCAGAGUUCUUUUAUUUCUUUACAAAACCUAAUUACUGCUAAAUCAAAAAAAUGUGCAUAACAAUGUACAUAUAGAGUUCUUGGCUCUUCCUUCUUGAAUUCUGCUGCAAUUUCAUUAAAUUUUACUCUCAGAUUAGUGGUACUAUCAUAAGCCUGGCCCCAAAUAUUAUUAAAGUCAAGUCCAAUUUGCUGCAGAUAAGUUUUGAUACUCCUGUGUAAGUGGGUCCCAGUCUUCUCUUCAAUAUCAACAGAACCCAAGAAUCUUUCCUUAAUUAUGACAGCUUUUGAUGUUUUUUGUGGGUAUCUUACACAAAUUGGAAGUUGUUCUUUGGUGGCAUUAGUUAUCUCAUCACAUAAAAUUGAAAAAGCUGAGGAGAGAUUGAUGUCAUUCACAAUAUCCUGCAACAUUUCCAUCUUUAUUAUUUCAAAAAUAUCAGCUUGGAUUUGUGUACUAUUAUAGAAGUCAACUUGUGAAUUCAUGAGUUGAUACAUUUCUUCUCCUUUAUCUUUUGCUCUGAUUUCUAACAAUUCUAAAAAAUUGCCUUUAUUCACAGAAGAAACAGAAUGGGCAUCUCCUCUUAAGGGUAAACACUGCUUCCCAAGAAAUAAAAUAUUUUCAACUAUAAGCUUUA